UACAGAGGGGGCAAGCGUUAUUCGGAAUUAUUGGGCGUAAAGGGCGCGUAGGCGGCUUGGCAAGUGGAAGGUGAAAUCCCUCGGCUUAACCGAGGAACUGCCCUCCAAACUGCUUGGCUUGAGACCGGGAGAGGUGAGUGGAAUUCCCAGUGUAGCGGUGAAAUGCGUAGAUAUUGGGAGGAACACCGGUGGCGAAGGCGGCGACCUGGGUCGAUACUGACGCUGAGGCGCGAAAGCGUGGGGAGCAAACAGG
rnacentral:rRNA from 1 species